CUGACACAGGCAGCAUUAUGAUGAUGUCAAACGUUUUACUGCUGGUGAUGCUGGGACUCUUUGCUCAGGAAUCAAUGGCAGAUAUAGUUCUGACUCAGAUACCAGCAGCUCAGUCUGUUCAGCUGGGAGACACUGUCUCUAUCAGCUGUACAACCAGUCAGGGCGUUUACAGUGGCAACUUCCUCAGCUGGUACCAGCAGAAACCUGGUCAGGCUCCUAAACUUCUGAUUUAUUAUGCCACAAGUCGCCAGACUGGGAUUCCUGAUCGUUUCAGUGGGAGUGGAUCUGGGACUCAGUUUACACUGAAAAUCACUGGAGUCCAGGCUGAAGAUGCAGGAGAUUAUUACUGUCAGAGUUACCACAGUGGCCAUGUGUUCACACAGUGA